rnacentral:rRNA from 1 species
AUACGAAGGUCCCGAGCGUUAUUCGGAAUCACUGGGCGUAAAGGGAGCGUAGGCUGUAGGGUAAGUCAGAUGUGAAAUCUCAGAGCUCAACUCUGAAACUGCAUCCGAUACUGCCGUACUAGAGUAAUGGAGGGGUAACUGGAAUUCUCGGUGUAGCAGUGAAAUGCGUAGAUAUCGAGGGGAAGACCAACGGCGAAGGCAGGUUACUGGACAUUUACUGACGCUGAGGCUCGAAGGCUAGGGUAGCGAAAGGGAUUAGAAACCCUAGUAGUCC